AUUUCACAUUAACAUCUAAUUUACUAGCUUAUACAUGCCAUUGAUUUCCAAAAUAAAGUUCCUUUAUGUACCGAGAUCUCGAGAUUGAUAGUGUGAUGUGUCUCCGACCAAAUCCGACCUCCGAGCUCUUAACUCUACAAACAGGGGAAAAAGAAACAGGGUAAGCACUUUGUGCUUAGUAAGUUCAUGCAACAGGAAUUAUACUUACCAUACUUAUACAUCCAUCAUUUAAUAACACAAGCACACAUUCAAUUCACAUAAACAUAUACCUAUCACAUACAAACUCAACCUCAUACAAAUUCAUUACAAAGAUAAAUGAUUGAUGAGCUCAUCAAUUCCAUGAUUUCCAUUUCCUUGUUAUUUUUCCGUAUUUAUCCCGUCGAACUACUUGGAAUUUCGAUGGAUAUUCAGGGGUACACCUAAGUGUACAAAUCCGGGUCCGUCAAUUCAUAUUCAUGUGCGCACAUUUCCAUUUCAGAGAGCACACUCCCGCGAACCUCAUCCUUACAACGGGAUUACCAGUCCAGGCUAAAUCCCAUGUAAUAUAAACUCACAGAGUAUUGUCGGGAUUACCAGUCCAGGCUAAAUCCCCNNNNNNNNNNNNNNNNNNNNNNNNNNNNNNNNNNNNNNNNNNNNNNNNNNNNNNNNNNNNNNNNNNNNNNNNNNNNNNNNNNNNNNNNNNNNNNNNNNNNNNNNNNNNNNNNNNNNNNNNNNNNNNNNNNNNNNNNNNNNNNNNNNNNNNNNNNNNNNNNNNNNNNNNNNNNNNNNNNNNNNNNNNNNNNNNNNNNNNNNNNNNNNNNNNNNNUUUAUUUUCUCUUUUCAUCAAGAAUAUCAAUACUUCAUCAAUUAUCAUACAAUAAACAUCCAAAUCAUAUUCACAUCAAUAACAAACAUUUCAAGCAUUUAAGAAUUUAAUUCAAGUCACACGAACUUACCUCGAUACUUGUUCGUAAGCAAAAAUCUACUAAUCCCGAACUUUUUCUUUUCCUCGAUCUAGAUUCGUAUUUGAAUUUUCUGGAUCUAAAUAAAUAAAUUUGAUCAUUAAUCUAAUACAUUUCAUGUUCAUAUGUAACAUUCUCUAAAAUUCCAUUAUUAUUUAUAGUGCAUUCAAAGCUGUCUUACUGAGUCACAGUCACUAAAUUAUUUAUAUCUUAAGCUACGAAACUCUAAAUUAAGAUCCGUUAAUUUUUCCUGAAACUAGACUCGCUUAUCUUCUUACCAUAAAAUUUUCAGAAUUUUUGGCCUAGCCAAUAAGUACAGUUUAUUCUUUAAAGUUUCCCCUGUUUCACUUGUUGAUAGUUCCGACCCCUCUUCACUAAAAAUUAAUUAUCUCAUUGUAAAGAAUUCGGAUGAUGUUUCCAUUUGUUUCAUAUGAAAAUAGACUAAUUAAGUAUUCUAAGCAUAUAAAUUAUAACUCAUAUUCAUUUUUGUACAAUUUUUAAUGAUUUUCCAAAGUCAGAACAGGGGAACCCGAAUUCAUUCUGACCUUGUCUCACAAAAUCUAUUAUAUCUCAUGAUUUCCAAUUCCAUUGAUUAAACCAUUUCUUCUAUGAGAAACUAGACUCAACAAGCUUCAAUUUCAUAUUUUAUUCAUCCUAUAAUUCGAUCUCUAAAAUUUUUGGUGAAUUUUUAAAGUUGGACUACUGCUGCUGUCCAAAACUGUUUUAGUGUAUGAUGUUAAUUACCAUUUUUCCCUAAACUUUCAAUAAAUGAUAAUUUCAUCCCUGCUCAAUUAACCUCUCAAUUGAGCUGGUUUUUCUCAAUUAACACUUUAUCCCAUCACUUUAAACUACUUUAUAAGCUUUGGAAAUCAAAAUUUUAGUACUAGACUUUAAUUCCAAACUUUUUCACAAUUAGGUCCUAUAAAACAAUUUCUAUUGAAAUUACCUAAUAAAAUCAUCUCAUAAAUAAGUUAAAGCUUCAAUUUCAUGCUAUUUCAUCAUAAAAUCCCAGCACAUAUAGCAACUUUCAACUUCACCCAUAAAAUCAAAAACUAAUGAAUUUAAUAAUAGGACCUAGUUGUAAAAGUCUUAGAAACACAAAAAUUACAAGAAAAAGGCAAGGAUUAACUCACUUGGGGCAAAAAUUAUCAAAAACCAGCUUGAAGAACCCCUUAGGACGUUUUUGGCUGAUGGGAAUGCAGAAAAAUAAAGAGGAAUCUAGAUAAUUCCACUUUAGUCCUACCUUUUAAAGCAAAUUUUGCAAUAUUCCAAUUUUACCCUUAAUUCUUCAAUUCUACUAUUUUUCUCAGCGUAUGCCGCCCAAAAUAUCUUCUUUUGGGGUUAUUUGUAAUUUAUGUCCCUCCACAUUUAACAAUUGAGCUAUUUAAUCCUUCUAGUAACUUUUACACCUUUUUCAAUUUAGUCCUUUUCACUUAAUUGACUACCCAAACAUUAAAAUUUUCUAACGAAAUUUUAAUACCAUAUUACUAACACUUCAUAAAUAUUUAUAAAAAUAUUUUUGACUCGGUUUUACGAGGUCGAAAUCUCGAUACCUUAUUUUUACCCAAUUUCUUCUAUAAUUUCUUUUUCUAACUAACCACUAAAUCGGUAAAAUUUUUCUAUCAAUAUUUUCAUACUAUUUUCCUAUCAUACCAAUAUUCAUGCAAAAAUAUUAAAAUAAAUUUCUCUUUAAAUCGGAUUUGUGGUUACGAAACCACUAUUCUGAUAACCUUGAAUUUGGGCCAUUACAGACGUGGUGGUGGCUAAUGAUGAAAGAGAUGUCAAAUGGCGAUUUACCGGUUUUUAUGGAACACCAUAUGCGCAAGAUAGAGAAGAUUCAUGGGCGGGCAGUCUUGAAAAAUCUCCACGAGGAUGAAGAUAUUCCUUGAUUUGUAUGUGGAGACUUCAAUGAAAUUAUGUAUGGUUUUGAAAAAAAGGGAGGCUUGCUUAGAGAUGAAAGAAGAAUGGAGAUGUUCCGUGAAGCUUUAGAAUUUUACCAUUUGACUGAUAUGGGAUAUUCUGGCAAAUGUUUACUUGGGAGAGAGGUAAUUUACUAGAAACAAACAUACAAAAACGUCUGGACAAGGGUGUUGCAAAUGAGAAUUGGAUUUCUAUGUUUCCUGAGGUAAAAGUUCAGCAUCUGGUGCACUCUUUUUCUGAUCAUUGUCUCUUUUUAAUUAACACAAAUAAGGAAGAUGAACGGAGGUCAGUAAGUCAUUCCAAAUUUGAAGCCUGGUGGGUUUUGAAUGACUCCUUCGUUGACGAAGCUAAACACAUAUGGAGGCUGGCAUCCGGAGAUUUUCUGAAGAAAUUGGAAAUUUUAAAAAAAGGCCUAGAAAAUUGGGCGAGACAAGCACAAAAAAUAGAUAGGGGAAAAAUGAAUUUUUGACAGCAAAGUUAUCAAAACUGAUUGAAGCCGAAAUGGAUGAUAUCAGCUUGGCUGAGAUGAUUGAUACGAAGAUUCAGCUAAACUUUGAAAUCGAAAAAGAUGAAAGAUACUGGGAACAAAGGGCUGACUGAACUGGAUGAAACUAAGUGAUAGAAAUAUAGCUUUUUUCCAUAGCCAAGCAAAGCAGAGAAUGAGGAAGAAUAUGAUAAACAAACUACAAAACAAUAGCGGAUGGGAAACGAACGACCUUUACGAAAUGGAAAGUAUUGCACAAUCCUAUUUUCAGAAUUUAUUCACUUUAGGGAAUCAAGAGAACUAUGAUCAUUUGCUUUCAGGAAUUGAUCAGUGUGUUUCUGAGGAAGAUAACAGAAAGCUUACAGAGCAAUAUAUAAAAGAAGAGGUUAGAGAGGCAUUGCUUGAAAUGCAACCCACGAAGGCACCUAGCGAAGAUAGGUUUCCUGCUCUUUUUUAUCAGAAAUGUUGGCACUUUAUUGGAUAGGAGGUUGUUGCUUUUUGUUUACACCUCUUGAAUGGAGAAAUGGAUGUCAGUUCAAUUAAUUCAACACAUAUUGUUCUUAUCCCAAAAAUUAUUAAUCCUUCUAAUAUGACACAUUUUAGGCCUAUUAGUUUAUGCAAUGUUAUUUAUAAAAUCAUGGCUAAAGCUAUAGCAAACAGAUUUAGAGGUGUUAUUGAUAAAUGCAUUGACAGCGCGCAAAGUGCCUUUGUGCCAGGAAGAUUAAUCUCAGAUAAUGUACUGCUAGCCUAUGAAUUAUUCCAUACACUUAAACAGAAGAGAAUGGGAAGAAGGGUUAUAUAGCAGUUAAACUGGACAUGAGUAAAGCUUAUGACAAGGUCGAAUGGAGAUUUAUCAAGGAGAUAAUGUUGCGGAUGAGUUUUGCUCAAAAAUGGGUUGUUUCUAUUAUGAACUGCAUGUCUACUGUUUCUUAUCAAGUUGUGCUCAACGAAAGUAUCGGAGAAACUUUUCGUCCAAUAAGGGGGAUUCGAUAAGGUGACCCAUUGAGUUCGGUUCUUUUUUUAAUAUGUGGAGAGGGAUUAUCUAGCCUCAUGAGAAUAGCUACAAAAGAAGGAAUAUUAAAAGGAGUCAAGGCAAGCAAAAACGAUCCACAGGUAACACAUUUACUAUUCGCAGAUGACUGCAUCUUAUUCAGAGAAGCAUCAAGAAAAGGAGCUUUAACAUUUAAUGAGAUCCUAAGUGAGUAUAAAUGAUGUUCGGGUCACUGUGUGAAUUUCGGUAAAUCAACUGUUUUCUUUAGUAAAAACACGCUAGAGGAAGAAAGAUAAUUAGUUGUCAAUUUGUUGGGAGUUCGGAGUUCAAAUGAGCUAAAACGAUAUCUAGGUUUGCCAAACAUGGUUGGUCGAAAAAAGAAACAAUCUUUUCAAGCUUUAAAAGAUAGAUUGAAACAGUGUAUUAAAAAUUAGAGUAUUCGAUUUUUAUCGCAAUGUGGAAAAAAUGUAUUUAUAAAGGCUGUCCUACAAGUCAUACCGACAUAUUCAAUGGCUUGCUUUUUACUCCCAAAGCCUCUAUGUGAAGAAAUGGAGGGUAUUGUUGCAAAAUAUUGGUGGCAAAAGGGUCGUGGAAAAGGGGGUAUUCACUGGUGUUCUUGGAAAAACCUUUGCUUUUUGAAAGAAAACGGGGGGAUGGGUUUUCAAAAUCUUAGCCAGUUUAAUAUUGUGUUGUUAGCCAAACAGGGUUGGUGAUUGAUUAUCCAAAUUCUCCUUUAGCCAGAGUUCUUAAAGCCAAAUAUUAUCCACGUUCUAGUUUUCUAAAUGCAUAGUUGGAAAACUUACUAUCUCUUACCUGAAGGAGCAUUUGGGCAGCGAAAGGACUCCUUCUUAAAGGACUAAACUGGAGAGUUGGGAGAGGAAAUGCAAUAUCUAUUUGGACUGACCGAUGGAUACCAGGGAUUGAACCUGAGACAUGGCAUAACAGAGGAGGCAAUGGUGAGUUAUAUUUAGUAUCAGACCUAGUUGACAGCACAACUAAGAUGUGGAAAACGGAGACAAUUACAACUACCUUCCAAAUAGAUACCACUCAAAAAAUAUUACAGAUUCCUCUUGCGAGAACAGAUUGUGAGGACAUGCAAGUGUGGAAAGGUGAACACUCUGGCGAGUUUUCAGUUCGAAGCGCCUACAAACUAUUACAAGAGGCUAGCUUGGAUCCUAACAAUUAUUUAUUACAGGCCGAAACUAAAGAAUUCUACAAGAAAUUAUGGAAUUUACAACUACCAUAAAAAAAUUUAAUACUUAUAUGGCAGAUUUCCUGGAACUAUAUCUCUUCACUAGCUAAUCUUAGAUACAAAAGAGUGAUCACAAAUGCUAGUUGUCUCCGAUGCUACUCUGAAGAAGAAGACAACUACCACGUGUUUCGGCAAUGUCCUACAAGCAUUGAUGUAUAGAUUAGUCUUAAUAUGAUGUGGUUAACAGAAUAUGCAAAUCAAAAUGUAUGGACAUGGCUCACCUGGGUCUUUGGCAAGGGUACAAAGGAGCAGAUCCGAUUAUUCUGCUGCGCCUUAUGGGUUAUUUGGGGCUCGCGGAAUCAGAUGGUCCAUGAGAGGAAAUUCACAUCAAGAAGGGAUCUCUCCCAUAAAAUACAGAGCUAAUUAAUGGAACUUGAAGGAGUGCGAGGAAAAAAGCUUACCCUUACGCGCAUUAGAACUCAAGGACAAGACAGAGAGACAAUAAGGGAGACGAUACAGUUCAAUGCAGCCUUUGAUACCAGUAAUUUCAGAUCGGCGUCAGGAAUAGUAGAUCGGGAUCAGAAUGGUGUGAUUAAAGUUUCAAAGUCGACUCUUCAUUCCAACGUUUCAUGUCCGUUUGUUGCAUAAGCAUAUGCAUGUUUAAAGGCAACCAAGUUAGGCAUCAACAUGGGUUUAGACUCAGUUACGAUUAUGGGGGAUUCGAAAACAGUUAUCAACAAAUGCCAAACGACAUUUAGGGAUAAAUCGAUCAUUAGAGCGAUUAUUAAAGAUAUCCAGAGCAACAAAUCUCGCUUUCAUGAAAUUGUUUUUAUGUUCAUCCAAAGAACAGAGAAUCUUCAAGCUCAUAAUCUAGCAAAAGACACGUUAAAAAAAAGGGGGAGAGAUGUACCUGGUGAGGGAGACGCUGAACGAAACUGCUCCAGAAGUAAGAUGGCCACAAAAUCCAAACUGAAGAGAGUUGUUGAAGGCGAAAUGAAACAGCAAAGAUAGAAAAUAAAGAAAAUUUCAUGGAAGUUGCUAUCCUCUGAACAGACCUGACGUUUUUGAAAUGAAGAGUUGGAAAUAGUAAUGGCGUUUAGGCUGUUUUGAUUUGACUGGAAAAUGACUGUCGGUUCUUUU
rnacentral:lncRNA from 1 species